AACAAGGGCUUACUUAAAGAUGUUUUGCUUCUGGGCUUUACCAAGUGAAGAAAACCAGAAGUGAUGAUAGUAGCUGGUAUCUAUCUUCUCGUGGAAUAAAGGAAAAAUUACCAGCCAGUGAAUUGGUCAACAAAAGUUUGCCAAGCAUACCUCAGCAUUUCCAAUUUUGUGGCGAAAAAGAAACUCUCAAGCACUUUUUCUUCCGAUUUUCCCAUUUAGUACAACUCUCCUCUCAGAUUCUGGUUUACAUUACUCAAGGGUGCUUCUAUCCUACACAGUUGGGAUGAACUGAUUAAUCCUCUUUCAGCACACCUUGUUGGUGAUAAUUUUAUCCAACUGGUGAUGUUUUUAUGCUGGAGCAUUUGGAAAUGCAACUUGCUUUUGUUCAGAGGUCAAAAGCAGAAUAUUCAGGAUGGGAUCUACUCACCUCUCUCCUACCAAGAGAUUCGAUGCAGCAAAAUCAGAAUUGCAUACCCGGAAUAAUCCCCAGCCUGUUGCUCCUCAAGUGUGGGUGCCCCCACCCAUGAAUGUGCUUAAAGCUAAUUUUGAUGCAGCUGUGGGAAGCAAAAAUGAUAGGAGCUUUUGCUACCAUAUUUUGUGAUCAUAGGGAUACCCUCAUGGAUUGGAGCUGCCGAUCCCAACCCAUCCCCAUCUGUUUGAUCCUUCGAUUAUGGAGAUUUUGGAAAGCCUAGCUUGCCGGAAAGCAAUCUCACUAGCCACAGCUUGAGGGGAUGGAAAAGUUAUCUUGGAAGGAGACUGAAAUUCUUAUCAAAGCUCUCAAGCAGCAGAUUCUGGCGGACAUUCAAAGUGUGGCUCAUGAUAUCCACGAGCUGAGCAAAGGCCUGGACUUGGUUAUUUUCUCUUUUGUAAAACGUUCCUGUAACAGAGCUGUGCACGAGGCAAAAAGCUCUUCACGAUGGUUCCUUCACUUAUAAUCCUGUGUGCCAGCAGCAAUUCAUAAUGGGCUCAUUGCCUUCAUGAUUUCUUUCUAUAGAAAAGGGGGGGAAAAGCAUCAACUAUCAUACCAUCUUUACAAUAAAAAAAAUAUGUUUAA
rnacentral:misc_RNA from 1 species